GGAGGCGCAUCUGUUCCGGUGAAUGGCACGGUCUUCAAAACCGUUUGUGAGCUUGUGAGAGCAAUCUUAGGUCGGUUCGACUCCGACACGCCUCCGCCA
rnacentral:tRNA from 1 species